rnacentral:rRNA from 1 species
GGGAGUCGGCCGCAAGGUUAAACUCAAAUGAAUUGACGGGGGCCCGCACAAGCGGUGGGCAGUGGUUUAAUUCGAUGCAACGCGAAGAACUUACCUGGUCUUGACAUCCAGGUGCUGCAUGGCUGUCGUCAGCUCGUGUUGUGAAAUGUUGGGUUAAGUCCCGCAACGAGCGCAACCCUUAUCCUUUGUUGCAACUCAAAGGAGACUGCCAGUGAUAAACUGGAGGAAGGUGGGGAUGACGUCAAGUCAUCAUGGCCCUUACGACCAGGGCUACACACGUGCUACAAUGGCGCAUACAAAGAGAAGCGACCUCGCGAGAGCAAGCGGACCUCAUAAAGUGCGUCGUAGUCCGGAUUGGAGUCUGCAACUCGACUCCAUGAAGUCGGAAUCGCUAGUAAUCGUGGAUCAGAUGCCACGGUGAAUACGUUCCCGGGCCUUGUACACACCGCCCGUCACACCAUGGGAGUGGGUUGCAAAAGAAGUAGGUUACCACUUUGUGAUUCAUGACUGGGGUGAAGUCGUAACAAGGUAACCGA